GACGAACCGUGCGAACGUUGUUCGGAAUCACUGGGCUUAAAGGGCGCGUAGGCGGGCUGUCAAGUCUGGGGUGAAAUCCCGCGGCUCAACCGCGGAACUGCCUCAGAUACUGACGGUCUCGAGGGGGGUAGGGGCGAGCGGAACUGAUGGUGGAGCGGUGAAAUGCGUUGAUAUCAUCAGGAACUCCGGUGGCGAAGGCGGCUCGCUGGACCUCUUCUGACGCUGAGGCGCGAAAGCUAGGGGAGCAAACGGG
rnacentral:rRNA from 1 species